UACGGGGGGGGGCAAGCGUUGUUCGGAAUUACUGGGGCGUAAAGGGUUUGUAGGUGGCUUGUUAAGUCAGACGUGAAAUCCCUCAGCUUAACUGGGGAACUGCGUCUGAUACUGGCGAGCUUGAGUGCAGGAGAGGAACGCGGAAUUCCAGGUGUAGCGGUGAAAUGCGUAGAUAUCUGGAGGAACACCGGUGGCGAAGGCGGCGUUCUGGACUGCAACUGACACUGAUAAACGAAAGCCAGGGUAGCAAACGGG
rnacentral:rRNA from 1 species